GGCCCAAUGGUCUAGUCGUAUGAUUCGCGCUUCGGGCAGUGAUCCCGCUGAUUUGAUUGCGCGAGGUCCCGGGUUCAAUUCCCGGUUGGGCCC